GAAACUUUAACGUGGCGCGUAAUAACUCGGCAAUGCAAGGAAAAACGGGACUUGCGAAAUUUAAACGGGCGCGAUUAACGCGUUAUCCAGCUGCCAACUCUAUCUUCCGCUAACCCAGUAAAAUGUCCAAACAUCUCCCGAUCUGAAUGGAAAGUCCAGCGUAAGUCAUUGGUGACCCACGCGGUACGAAACGUGUUAAACAAGAGAAUCAGCAAUGUGCGAGGUUGUCAGGUGCACGAUGUACCUUUUCUUUUUCUAUAACGAAAAGAAGGCGCGAUGGCUGACGAUUGCAUUCGCCAUCCACUACGAUUUUCUCCCACUACUAGCACUUUCUGUCCUCCUACUCUGAUGCCAGUUGGGCCACCUCUUUCUGAAAAUGAUGUACCAUCACCGACUAUUGGGUGCAACUGAAAUCAAGGCUACCGAUUGGACGCCUUGGAUUGGAUCUCUAACGCUCACCUAGGAAUGUCGCGACCUCGUGUUGAGAUGCAAAUUAACGUAAUCUCUGUGAGCCGUAUGUUAUCGAGCCGCGAUCGGCGACGCCUUCGAAUUGCUCUAUGCGAAGGAUUUAUGUUAAUUCUAAAUAACCUUCACUGAAAUUAACCGUUUUGCGUAACGUUUAAAGAUCUCUCUCCGAUUGAGAGGGAGCCUUCAAUGCAAUCAAUUUUUUUGUCCGGAUCUCACAAUUAGAAGUAAACAUGUGAUAUGUCAAUAUCACAAUUCUGCCAAUAUUAAAAGCAUGCCUAUUUCUAGCUGAUAAGAUAAUAAUAAACAUCAUGAAGUAAUUAAACACGUACGUAUACUCGAAGUUCAUAUGUAUAUUCAAUGUUGAACAUUAAAAAAAAUACAUUUUAAAACUCUAUCAA
rnacentral:lncRNA from 1 species